rnacentral:rRNA from 1 species
AACUCUCCCGGGGAGCCGGGGCGGGAAACUCCCUCGCCCCGGCGAUCCGGUGCUCCCCGUGCGCUCGUCGCGCGGAGGAAACCUUAACCCCGGCGCGGAAAGCGCCAAGGAAUACAAUAACUGGACGGCCAGCGCCCCCUCGCCCCGUUCGCGGCGCGCGGGGGGUCGUGUCGGCGUCUGCUUUAACCAAAACGACUCUCGGCAACGGAUAUCUCGGCUCUCGCAUCGAUGAAGAACGUAGCGAAAUGCGAUACUUGGUGUGAAUUGCAGAAUCCCGUGAACCAUCGAGUCUUUGAACGCAAGUUGCGCCCGAAGCCAUUAGGCCGAGGGCACGUCUGCCUGGGCGUCACGCAUCGCGUCGCCACCCCCACCCGUCGUGCGUGCGGGGCGGCGGAUGUUGGCCUCCCGUUCCGUGAGGUGCGGCCGGCCUAAAUGCGAGUCCUCGGCGAGGGACGUCCCGACAAGUGGUGGUUGAAUUCCUCAGCUCGAGUCCUGUCGUGCCGGUACCCCGCGCCGUCCCACGGACUUUCGUGACCCUUGAAGCGCGCUUCCCCGGAGGCGGGCCUCGACCGCGACCCC